GCUCAGUAACACGUGGAUAACCUACCCUUAGGACUGGGAUAACCUUGGGAAACUGAGGAUAAUACCGGAUAGGCAAUUAUUCCUGUAAUGGUUUUUUGUUUAAAUGUUUUUUCGCCUAAGGAUGGGUCUGCGGCCGAUUAGGUAGUUGGUUAGGUAAUGGCUUACCAAGCCGUUGAUCGGUACGGGUUGUGAGAGCAAGAGCCCGGAGAUGGAACCUGAGACAAGGUUCCAGGCCCUACGGGGUGCAGCAGGCGCGAAACCUCCGCAAUGUGAGAAAUCGCGACGGGGGGAUCCCAAGUGCCAUUCUUAACGGGAUGGCUUUUCAUUAGUGUAAAGAGCUUUUGGAAUAAGAGCUGGGCAAGACCGGUGCCAGCCGCCGCGGUAACACCGGCAGCUCUAGUGGUAGCAAUUUUUAUUGGGCCUAAAGCGUCCGUAGCCGGUUUAAUAAGUCUCUGGUGAAAUCCUGUAGCUUAACUGUGGGAAUUGCUGGAGAUACUAUUAGACUUGAGAUCGGGAGAGGUUAGAGGUACUCCCAGGGUAGAGGUGAAAUUCUGUAAUCCUGGGAGGACCGCCUGUUGCGAAGGCGUCUAACUGGAACGAUUCUGACGGUGAGGGACGAAAGUUAGGGGCGCGAACCGGAUUAGAUACCCGGGUAGUCCUAACUGUAAACGAUGCGGACUUGGUGUUGGGGUGGCUUUGAGCUGCUCCAGUGCCGAAGGGAAGCUGUUAAGUCCGCCGCCUGGGAAGUACGGUCGCAAGACUGAAACUUAAAGGAAUUGGCGGGGGAGCAC
rnacentral:rRNA from 1 species